AGCAGCCGCGGUAAUUCCAGCUCCAAUAGCGUAUAUUAAAGUUGUUGCAGUUAAAAAGCUCGUAGUUGAAUUUCGGGGUUAGUAGGCUGGUCAUGCCUCUGGUAUGUACUGGUCUCACUGAUUCCUCCUUCCUGAUGAACCUUAAUGCCAUUAAUUUGGUGUUUUGGGGAAUUUGGACUGUUACUUUGAAAAAAUUAGAGUGUUUAAAGCAAGCUAACGCUUGAAUACAUUAGCAUGGAAUAAUGAAAUAGGACGUUCGAUCCUAUUUUGUUGGUUUCUAGGAUUGACGUAAUGAUUAAUAGGGAUAGUUGGGGGCAUUAGUAUUCAAUUGUCAGAGGUGAAAUUCUUGGAUUUAUUGAAGACUAACUACUGCGAAAGCAUUUGCCAAGGAUGUUUUCAUUAAUCAAGAACGAAAGUUAGGGGAUCGAAGACGAUCAGAUACCGUCGUAGUCUUAACCAUAAACUAUGCCGACUAGGGAUCGGAUGAUGUUAAUUUUUUAAUGACUC
rnacentral:rRNA from 1 species